rnacentral:rRNA from 1 species
GUGAGGAAUAUUGCGCAAUGGAGGCAACUCUGACGCAGCCAUGUCGCGUGCAGGAAGAAGGCGCUACGCGUUGUAAACUGCUUUUAACCGGGAAGAAACCCCAGGACGUGUCCUGGGUUGACGGUACCGGAGGAAUAAGCACCGGCUAACUUCGUGCCAGCAGCCGCGGUAAUACGAAGGGUGCAAGCGUUAUCCGGAUUCAUUGGGUUUAAAGGGUGCGUAGGCGGAGCGUUAAGUCAGUGGUGAAAUCCUGCAGCUUAACUGUAGACUUGCCAUUGAUACUGGCGCUCUUGAGUGCGCUUGAAGUGGGCGGAAUGUGCCGUGUAGCGGUGAAAUGCUUAGAUAUGGCACAGAACACCAAUUGCGAAGGCAGCUCACUAAGGCGAUACUGACGCUGAGGCACGAAAGCGUGGGGAUCGAACAGGAUUAGAAACCCGAGUAGUCC